rnacentral:lncRNA from 1 species
UCCUCUUUGUCACUGAUCAGUCUGUUAGCAGCUUGGUCGGUCGGUCAUGUCUGCUAGGCACUGUUGGCAAGUACUGGGCAUCAGCAGAGUAUUAGAUCCAAAUUGUCGACACUCAAGGUUCAUAAUACACCUGACCUUGAUAGAGUGUGUCCCAGAGUGUUAAGAGAGUUGUGCAAUGACCGUGUAGAGACCUUAAAAGCUCACACGGUGCCAUCACAAUUCAUAACUCACAACACUGACAGGUUUUCCAAGUGUUCACAACCCUCACUCUAAAAAUGUUAGCUCCAAGUGUUCUCAACUUGUGGCGUCUCUGAAUUUCAUCCUCCGGCCGCCGGGCAGUCAACCACACACUACUGAUCUGCUGUUUGAGAAGAUCAUUGGUGAGCUUACGAAAAUGGAUCCUAAUGGCAGUGUGGAUACAGCAAACUGUAUAGAAACAUCAAUGUAGAUUUAUGCUGAGGGCAGAAACAAUCACAAUACAAAAACUACAGAAGUUGCAAAUCUUCCACUUAUGGGGAAUAUUCUUGAGGUAAGGAAAAAUAUACUUUUGUAGACAAUUACUAGAUAACACAAGUCGAUAUAAAAGUUAUUAAAAUAAGGCAACUGUAUAGAUUCUUUAUGAAGCAUCACCAUUUAAAUCAGAGGGUCCCAGAUUUUGUUCAGUGUUGUCAGCUGUCCACUGUGACCCUGAGUGUUUAAGAAAGAUUAGAUGAGAGCUGUGACGUGUCAUUCUAACUUUUAUUAUGUACAAACUGCAUGACAUAUUGAAAUGAAUAUUUCUGCAUUUGAGAAAGUAACUAUUCCAGUUUCGUUUUUCACCUAAGCAAAUGCAAAAAACUGCAUUUCAGUAUCUUAUGCCGUUUGCACAUAAUAUAUAUUUGAAAUCAGAUGGGGACUUUACGGACACCCUGCAUUGUUAUUUACAUAAUGUUGCUGAAUACAGGGAUUAGCAAUAAAGGUAUACUGUCGCAGUGCACAAUUACUCCAGCUGGUUAGUUUUUACCAGGAGUAAAUACAGUAUUGUUCACUAUUAAACCUUUAUGAAAUUUAUCUUUGCCAGUCACAAUUUUUUUUUGUUAUAGUGAUCGUAAACUAACUGCCUCCCUGUGGAAUUAAGUAACGUACAGUAUUAGAAAUAUAUUGUCAGUUUGCUUCCCAAAAUAUGAAGAAACAAAAAUAUUGGAUGUUGUGAAAAUUAGCAACCUCUGCUUAUUUCACCCGAUGAUUAAACACCCUACUGCUAACCUAACCCGACCAUUUAGCAGUAGGGUGUUGAAUCAUGGUGAAACAAGUGGGGUUUCCUUGUCUCCAUGAGAUUCAGAUACUGUACUGUAAUUAUCAAUAUCAACCAAAUGCAAUAAUAAAGGUUAAGGAGAUGGUUGCCAUUUUAUUGCCUGUUUUAAGAGAACAUUAUGGAUAUGUUUUUUAAGAUUUGUAAAAUUCAGAUUCAAUGUGGAGAAAGAGACAAUUAUGAACUUAUGAAAAUAAUGUACAGUAUAAAUUGUUCCAUCUUGUAAUUAUGCAGUCAAAAUUAUUUUAUUAAGGUCGUUAAGUUUGGUUGGUUUGUCGUGACUAUUAGUAAGAAUGAUUUUGAACUACAGCCUCUGAAGAACUGAAUGCUCACAAAAUGGUGACGUCUCAAGAGGUGCUUCAUAAUUAUAGUUGUUGUAUUGUAUGUGGAUAUUUUUUUCCCCUAUUAUCUGCCACAAAAUUUUUUCCAAAAAACUAAGAGAACUGUAUCCAUAAAGAUCAUAACAUAUAAUGUUUGGAAAUAA